AUGGCCGACACCCGCUGCACCCACCGGAGAAGAACCACCGCCCGCCAAGCACUCCGAAGCCUCGCGUACCAAGCAACAUCUUCAGGAAGAAAUGCGACGACGACGCCGCUGCUGCCCGGACAAGUCCUAGGGUUUCCCCCGGUACGCGGAUGGCAGUGGGGAAGGGGGUAUCACCGACGCCCCUCAAGAGGGUCUGGCAACGCCCACGGGCGCAGCUGCGCCGGUGGCGAACGAGCCACCAGAGAUUUCUCCCGCCCCGAAGCCACCACCGCCACCUCAGACAAUCGGAAGCGCACCGCCCAACAUGCCGCCCACCAGCCUGUGCCACCGCGGAUAACGCACCAUCUUCACUGUUUCACUGAGGCCACCAACACGAGACCUGGAGGUAGGACGAGAAGACGCCGGGCUCGGAGGCAACCGCACCAUAACCGACAGGAGGGAACAACCUCCACCGCCGCGCGGAGCCGACCGGACAUGGCAACAGGGACUUGCCGGGCCACCACCGGCCCGGCCAGACCCCGACGGGUCCGGACAGUCCCCGCAGCCACGCUGCAGCACACCGGCCGCCGGAGCCACCACCACCGCAGCCACGGCCCCCUCAUUCCACCACCAGGGAGCCACGCCGUCGCGCACCGGUCCGCAGGCCCGCCCCAGCCUAGAUGGGGCCCGAAAGGGCCCAGAUCUGGGCCGAGCGGGCGCCGCCGGCCAGCCGCCCACCGCGCCGCCCCGCAACCAACGAGGGAGGAGGAGGACCGAGACGGGGGGAGGGCAGGGGGGCGCUCCGCCGCCUCGGGGAGCGCCGGGGGAGGGGGGGAGGGGGAGAUGAGGGGGGGACCGGGGGGCGCGCGCGAGGCGGCCGGCGCCGGCGGGAGGGGGCGAGGGAGGCCGGCGGCGGCGGGGCGGAACCCUAGGGCGGGUCGCGGGAGCGAGCGGUCCCUGCAAGGAAACUCACUCAGUAUCUACACUUGCCAGAUACAGGAGAACGACAUCGUGCAAAUAAUGGCCAACAGGACAUGUUCUGCUACUGUCUCCUCACUCUUUGCUUCAUCUGGGCCGCAAGGAUGGGCAGAGCUCCCGGACGACCAGCUCCGACCUGUUGUCGCUCUACUAUGCUCCUCACCUUCGGUACCACUUGUCAUCAUUGGGGUGAAUGUGAUCUCUUCUCAGCCCAUGCUCCUCUGUCCAGCCCCUGCUCCUCCACCCCAAUCUCCGUACCAACGAUUGGCUGACCCUGCUGCCACCUCAUCCUCUCGCAGUUUUCUUUCGUUGAGUGACCUCAGAAGCAUGACCUUUCGGCGCUGCUCCUACAGUCAGCUCAUCUUCUGCGACAACAAUGGGUUCCAUAUUGUUAAUCCAUUCAGUGGCGCUAAGGUUGGUCCUCCUUCCCUCCGGUCAGUUCACUUCACUUGCAUCAGCUAUGUCACCUUAACUGCCCCUGUUGCAUCCGCUGAUUCGCAUCUCCUUGUCGGUGCUGGAGCCUAUCUGUUCCUGUGGCCAGGCGCAUUGGCAGCGACUCUUGGACAAAACACAGCCCUAAAGUUGGCGGGAAGAAGGAUGCGCUCGGAGGCCUUCAAGCUUGAGUCAGUGGACAUCAUGACCAAGAAGGCAAGGUGGGUGAAAGUGAACAAGUUAGAUAACUGGGCCAUCUUUAUCAGCAUUGACGAGCGGUGCGAGGCGUUGCCGUGCAUGAACCCGGAGGGAUGGGGAGGAAGGAGCAACCACAUAUACUUCCCAAGUUAUCAGUCUAAAAAACCUUGGGCUGCAGUCCAACUAUGGAAAAAAUGUUAUUACCGUUCGACAUGUUUGCAGCUCUUCAACACUGGAAGACGGUACCUGAAAUUGGAGUCAACCUGGGUCUUCCCCGCGCGUUUCCUUUUUACGUCCUGUGAUGAUCUUACGACUAUUGUGGAGUUUUCUUGUACCUGGGCACUUGAUAACAUGGGCUAG
rnacentral:rRNA from 1 species